GAGCAAAAAACCGAUUUGAAACCGAAACCGAACCGAAACCGGGAAAAACCGGAGAAAACCGAUCCGAAUAUAACCGAUCCGAAACCGAAACCGAAAAAUAAAAAACCGAACCGAUUUAAAUGGUUCGGUUCCGGUUAUACCUUCCAACCGAACCGAUAAAAACCGAACCGAACCGAUUAUUAAAAUAAUAAUUAAAUAAUAAAUAUUAUAUAUAUUUAUUAAUAAUAAAUAUCUAAUUUAUUUCGAAUUUGAAAAUUAAAAAAGCUAUUCAAGUUAUAAGUUCACAUAAUAUACAAAAACUACAAAUUAUAAUCUCCAGACUCU
rnacentral:lncRNA from 1 species